rnacentral:lncRNA from 1 species
UAGCACUGCAACCUAGAGAGCAUUUGUCUGUUUGACUGUUAAGGCUUCCAUGUUCGAGAUGUGUGGUGGAACUUGCCCUGAAAAAACAAAGGCCCACCUUAGGAGAAGAACACGGGCCAGAGGCACCCUGUUUCUGAGCUACCCUCAACCAGCCACCUCUGGAAGCACUGGCAACUCAUCCCCAGGGGCUGUUGCCCAGCGACUGGGUUUGGCACACCAAGUGAAAUCCACUAGAG